rnacentral:rRNA from 1 species
UAGUUCGUGGAGUGAUCUGUCUGCUUAAUUGCGUUUCAAAAUAUGAAUUUGAGUACCAGGUCCCAAGUGUUUCAAGUAAAUCUGUCUCUGAGUGUGAACUGUAUCUCUUCGGAUAUGCGACUAUCACUCUUAGGCAAUUAUGAUUUGCUUGUAGCCCCUGGUACUCUUUUGAACGCAACGGACGUGAUUGCAACCCCUUGUUGAGUUUGCUUCUCUUAGGAACUCUACGUCUACUGAUCCACCUACCUUAGCGGGUAGGUGGUGAGGUGGAUAAACUCGGGGGACUGCUGACUAUAACCAUUUCUCAAAACAGAGGAAGGUUGCGGCAAUAACAGGUCUGUGAUGCCCUCAGAUGUCCCGGGCUGCACACGUGCUACAAUGAGUAGCGCAGUGUGCACAUUUUGAAGAGUGAUAGGUGCUGGGGUUGUACAUUUUAAAGGGCUCGUCCUAGUAACCAACCGCCCCCAAGCAUCUAUCAACCUUCCCUUUACAGGGUGGGUAACCUCUUCGAAGUGCUGGUUUGAUUUCCCUAGUGUUUGUCAUAAUAAUCCUCGUCGCACCUACUCUAGGACAUAGUGAACAUUGUAGACUUUGUCAUAAUGAUUCCCGUCUUAGGUUUGCGACGCAUGCUUUUCCUGGUUGACUCAUCGUG